GAGUUUGAUCCUGGCUCAGAAUCAACGCUGGCGGCGCGCUUAACACAUGCAAGUCGCACGAGAAAGGGGAGCAAUCCCUGAGUAAAGUGGCGUACGGGUGAGUAACACGUGGGUAAUCCACCCUUUAGUGGGGAAUAACCCUGGGAAACCGGGGCUAAUACCGCAUAAGCCUGAGAAGGGAAAGCAGCAAUGCGCUGAAGGAGGAGCCCGCGGCCGAUUAGCUAGUUGGCGAGGUAAUGGCCCACCAAGGCGAUGAUCGGUAGCCGGCCUGAGAGGGCACACGGCCACACUGGCACUGAAACACGGGCCAGACUCCUACGGGAGGCAGCAGUGGGGAAUCUUGCACAAUGGGGGAAACCCUGAUGCAGCGACGCCGCGUGAGCGAUGAAGCCCUUCGGGGUGUAAAGCUCUUUCGUCAGGGACGAUAAUGACGGUACCUGGAGAAGCAGCUGCGGCUAACUACGUGCCAGCAGCCGCGGUAAUACGUAGGCAGCGAGCGUUGUUCGGAGUUACUGGGCGUAAAGGGUGUGUAGGCGGUUUUCUAAGUUUGGUGUGAAAUCUCCCGGCUCAACCGGGAGGGUGCGCCGAAAACUGGGAGACUAGAGUGCGGGAUGGGAGAGUAGAAUUCCUGGUGUAGCGGUGAAAUGCGUAGAUAUCAGGAGGAAUACCGGUGGUGUAGACGGCUCUCUGGACCGCCACUGACGCUGAGACACGAAAGCGUGGGUAGCAAACAGGAUUAGAUACCCUGGUAGUCCACGCCCUAAACGAUGCAUAUUUGGUGUAGGUCAUUCAGUUGAUCUGUGCCGGAGCUAACGCGUUAAAUAUGCCGCCUGGGGAGUACAGUCGCAAGGCUGAAACUCAAAGGAAUUGACGGGGGCCCGCACAGGCGGUGGAGCAUGUGGUUUAAUUCGACGCAACGCGAAGAACCUUACCAGCCCUUGACAUGGGGAGUAUGGGUUGCCGAGAGGUGAUCCUUCAGUUCGGCUGGCUCCCACACAGGUGCUGCAUGGCUGUCGUCAGCUCGUGUCGUGAGAUGUUGGGUUAAGUCCCGCAACGAGCGCAACCCUCGCCUCCAGUUGCCAUCAGGUUAAGCUGGGCACUUUGGAGGAACUGCCGGUGACAAGCCGGAGGAAGGUGGGGAUGACGUCAAGUCCUCAUGGCCCCUACGGGCUGGGCUACACACGUGCUACAAUGGCGGUGACAGAGGGAAGCGAAGGGGAGACCUGGAGCGAAUCUUAGAAAGCUGGUCGUAGUCCGGAUUGAAGUCUGCAACUCGACUUCAUGAAGUCGGAAUCGCUAGUAAUCGCGAAUCAGCAUGUCGCGGUGAUACGUUCCCGGGCAUUGCACACAC
rnacentral:rRNA from 1 species